rnacentral:rRNA from 1 species
CCUACGGGAGGCUGCAGUGGGGAAUAUUGCGCAAUGGGCGCAAGCCUGACGCAGCGACGCCGCGUGUGGGAUGAAGGUCUUCGGGUCGUAAACCUCUGUCAGCGGGGAGGAACGGUCACUGGUCUAAUCACCCGUGGAUUGACGGUACCUGCAAAAGCAGCACCGGCUAACUCCGUGCCAGCAGCCGCGGUAAUACGGAGGGUGCAAGCGUUAAUCGGAAUUACUGGGCGUAAAGCGCUCGUAGGCGGUAUGUCAAGUCAAGGGUGAAAUCCCCGGGCUCAACGUGGGAACUGCAUUUGAAACUGGCAAACUGGAGUGUGGUAGAGGAGAGUGGAAUUCCAGGGGUAGGAGUGAAAUGCGUAGAUAUCGGGAGGAAUAGUAGUGGCGAAGGCGACUACCUGGACAAAAACUGACGCUCAGGUGCGAAAGCGUGGGGAGCAAACAGGAUUAGAUACCCGGGUAGUC